AACGAACGCUGGCGGCAGGCCUAACACAUGCAAGUCGAACGCCCCGCAAGGGGAGUGGCAGACGGGUGAGUAACGCGUGGGAACCUACCUAGUGGUACGGAAUAACUCCGGGAAACCGGUGCUAAUACCGUAUACGCCCUUUGGGGGAAAGAUUUAUCGCCAUUAGAUGGGCCCGCGUCGGAUUAGCUAGUUGGUGAGGUAAAGGCUCACCAAGGCGACGAUCCGUAGCUGGUCUGAGAGGAUGAUCAGCCACACUGGGACUGAGACACGGCCCAGACUCCUACGGGAGGCAGCAGUGGGGAAUAUUGGACAAUGGGCGCAAGCUUGAUCCAGCCAUGCCGCGUGGGUGAAGAAGGCCCUAGGGUUGUAAAGCCCUUUCGGCGGGGAAGAUAAUGACGGUACCCGCAGAAGAAGCCCCGGCUAACUUCGUGCCAGCCGCCGCAGUAA
rnacentral:rRNA from 1 species